UACGUAGGGUGCAAGCGUUAAUCGGAAUUACUGGGCGUAAAGCGUGCGCAGGCGGUUAUGUAAGACAGUUGUGAAAUCCCCGGGCUCAACCUGGGAACUGCAUCUGUGACUGCAUAGCUAGAGUACGGUAGAGGGGGAUGGAAUUCCGCGUGUAGCAGUGAAAUGCGUAGAUAUGCGGAGGAACACCGAUGGCGAAGGCAGUCCCCUGGGCCUGUACUGACGCUCAUGCACGAAAGCGUGGGGAGCAAACAGG
rnacentral:rRNA from 1 species